rnacentral:rRNA from 1 species
CUAGCGAUAGGCUUAACACAUGCAAGUCGAGGGGCAGCAUGAUCUUAGCUUGCUAAGGUCGAUGGCGACCGGCGCACGGGUGCGUAACACGUAUGCAACUUGCCUUACAGAGGGGGAUAACCCGUUGAAAGACGGACUAAAACCGCAUACACUUGUAUUAUUGCAUGAUAUUACAAGGAAAUAUUAUAGCUGUAAGAUAGGCAUGCGUCCCAUUAGCUAGUUGGUGAGGUAACGGCUCACCAAGGCGACGAUGGGUAGGGGAACUGAGAGGUUCAUCCCCCACACUGGUACUGAGACACGGACCAGACUCCUACGGGAGGCAGCAGUGAGGAAUAUUGGUCAAUGGGCGAGAGCCUGAACCAGCCAAGUCGCGUGAAGGAAGACAGUCCUAAGGAUUGUAAGCUUCUUUUAUACGGGAAUAACGGGCGAUACGAGUAUUGCAUUGAAUGUACCGUAAGAAUAAGCAUCGGCUAACUCCGUGCCAGCAGCCGCGGUAAUACGGAGGAUGCGAGCGUUAUCCGGAUUUAUUGGGUUUAAAGGGUGCGUAGGUUGUUCGGUAAGUCAGCGGUGAAACCUGAACGCUCAACGUUCAGCCUGCCGUUGAAACUGCCGGGCUUGAGUUCAGCGGCGGCAGGCGGAAUUCGUGGUGUAGCGGUGAAAUGCAUAGAUAUCACGAGGAACUCCGAUUGCGAAGGCAGCUUGCCAUACUGCGACUGACACUGAAGCACGAAGGCGUGGGUAUCAAACAGGAUUAGAUACCCUGGUAGUCCACGCAGCUAAACGAUGAUUACUAGGAAGUUUGCGGAUAUACCCGUUCCAAGCUUUCCACCAAGCGGAAAAGCCGUUUAAAGUAAAUCCACCCCUGGGGGAG